UUCUUAAGCAAGCCCGACAACACUGCAAAAACAUGGGCAUAUCAGUAAUUCAGAAUAUGUCUUUAGAGGUUAAUAGGUUAAUAUUGCAACACCCAAAAAUACUCAACUAUGGCCAAUGUGCUUGAUACCAUGUUAGUAAGGUAAGGGCACCGGUCAAAACAUUCUCUGAUGAUUUUGAACACAAAAUGCCCAUUAAUGAGUAUGCCCAUUUACGAGUGAAAUAGAGUUUAAAAUCUAUCGGCAUAUGGA
rnacentral:misc_RNA from 1 species